rnacentral:ncRNA from 2 species
GCGGGCAAUGAUCGCGCUGGUGCCUCGCAAGAGGCUUAAAACGGGAAGGCGGUGCGGGCUUCACGGCCCAAUUCCGCUGCUGUCCCUGCAACUGUAAGCGGUGAGCGCGAUGCACAUCGCCUGUCCCCCAGCGGGGAUGGGCAGCCACUGGGCCGGACGCUGAAACAUGCGAGGCCUGGGAAGGCCGUGCAUCGAGCGAUGACCCGCGAGCCAGGAGACCUGCCGGCGUCUGGUCGCUCUU